rnacentral:rRNA from 1 species
UACGUAGGGGGCGAGCGUUGUCCGGAUUUACUGGGCGUAAAGCGCGUGUAGGCGGCUGGAUAGGUCGGGUGUGAAAGCCCGGGGCUCAACCCCGGGACGCCGCCCGAGACUGUCUGGCUUGAGGUCGGAAGAGGGGAGUGGAAUUCCUGGUGUAGCGGUGAAAUGCGUAGAGAUCAGGAGGAACACCCGUGGCGAAGGCGGCUCCCUGGUCCGAUUCUGACGCUGAGACGCGAAAGCGCGGGGAGCGAACGGG